rfam:Leersia perrieri chromosome 7, whole genome shotgun sequence.
AUCCCAUGAUGAGGACAGACGGCAACAUACUCCUACAGACGUUCCCACGCCUCGGGAAUGGACUCAUCCCUUGUCUGCUGGAAGCUUGAAAUUCUCCCACGAAGGGC